UACGUAGGGUGCAAGCGUUAAUCGGAAUUACUGGGCGUAAAGCGUACGCAGGCGGCUUUGCAAGACAGGUGUGAAAUCCCCGAGCUUAACUUGGGAAUUGCGCUCGAAACUACGUGGCUCGAGUGUGGCAGAGGAAGGUGGAAUUCCACGUGUAGCGGUGAAAUGCGUAGAGAUGUGGAGGAACACCGAUGGCGAAGGCAGCCUUCUGGGCCAACACUGACGCUCAUGCACGAAAGCGUGGGGAGCAAACAGG
rnacentral:rRNA from 1 species